AGAGUUUGAUCAUGGCUCAGAACGAACGCUGGCGGCAUGCCUAACACAUGCAAGUCGAACGAAGGCUUCGGCCUUAGUGGCGCACGGGUGCGUAACGCGUGGGAAUCUGCCCUUAGGUUCGGAAUACAGCUGGAAACGGCUGCUAAUACCGGAUGAUAUCGCGAGAUCAAAGAUUUAUCGCCUGAGGAUGAGCCCGCGUUGGAUUAGGUAGUUGGUGGGGUAAAGGCCUACCAAGCCGACGAUCCAUAGCUGGUCUGAGAGGAUGAUCAGCCACACUGGGACUGAGACACGGCCCAGACUCCUACGGGAGGCAGCAGUGGGGAAUAUUGGACAAUGGGCGAAAGCCUGAUCCAGCAAUGCCGCGUGAGUGAUGAAGGCCCUAGGGUUGUAAAGCUCUUUUACCCGGGAAGAUAAUGA
rnacentral:rRNA from 1 species